CCAGAAAUUACGCAAUAGGAAGACUGAAGACUGCCAGCACUUCUGUGAUUCCUGCUGCUGGCUGGGGCACGAGGGAAGUCCUCCUGAUGAUCCCAAGGUCCCAUCCUCAGUGGAAGAACAGCCUUGGUGUUGAAGGCAGAGGGUGAAGGUGUCAUCAGUGAGAGAUGAGAAGACUACAGCCAAUUGAGAUUGUUGCUGUGUAAAUCCACUCGGGCCCCAAUCAUGACAUGUGAGAUUUUUCCAGGCAGUGAAGACAAUUUCAAAGAUCCACAUUUGAGCUCUAACCAAACAAGCAAUUGAAUAAAAAAUAAACAGUCAUAAAAAAUAAAAUCUCUGCUUAUAUGAGA